rnacentral:rRNA from 1 species
AGAAUUCGCCCUUAGAGUUUGAUCCUGGCUCAGGACGAACGCUGGCGGCGUGCCUAACACAUGCAAGUCGAACGGAGUGUUGCGCUGAAUAUGAGAUUAGCUUGCUAAAGGAAUAUUCUUGUAACACUUAGUGGCGGACUGGUGAGUAACGCGUGAGCAACCUGCCUUACAGAGGGGGACAACAUUGGGAAACCGAUGCUAAUACCGCAUGACAUAUUCGAAAGGCAUCUUUUGAAUAUCAAAGGAGCAAUCCGCUGUAAGAUGGGCUCGCGUCCGAUUAGUUAGAUGGUGGGGUAACGGCCUACCAUGACGACGAUCGGUAGCCGGACUGAGAGGUUGAACGGCCACAUUGGGACUGAGAUACGGCCCAGACUCCUACGGGAGGCAGCAGUGGGGAAUAUUGCACAAUGGAGGAAACUCUGAUGCAGCAACGCCGCGUGAAGGAAGAAGGUCUUCGGAUUGUAAACUUCUGUUUUUAGUGACGAAGGAAGUGACGGUAGCUAAAGAGGAAGCCACGGCUAACUACGUGCCAGCAGCCGCGGUAAUACGUAGGUGGCAAGCGUUGUCCGGAUUUACUGGGUGUAAAGGGUGCGCAGGCGGGACUGCAAGUUGGAUGUGAAAUACCGGGGCUUAACCCCGGAGCUGCAUCCAAAACUGUAGUUCUUGAGUGAAGUAGAGGUAAGCGGAAUUCCGAGUGUAGCGGUGAAAUGCGUAGAUAUUCGGAGGAACACCAGUGGCGAAGGCGGCUUACUGGGCUUUAACUGACGCUGAGGCACGAAAGCAUGGGUAGCAAACAGGAUUAGGUACCCUGGUAGUCCAUGCCGUAAACGAUGAAUGCUAGGUGUGGGGGGACUGACCCCUUCCGUGCCGGAGUAAACACAAUAAGCAUUCCACCUGGGGAGUACGACCGCAAGGUUGAAACUCAAA